CCGCACACUUGUCCGCUUGCACAUUGGUUGGUACCAUAGUUGUAGUUUGGCUUCUCCCCCACCCACAAUUGCACAGCUGCCCUCCCCGUGAAAUCACCAGUUCCCUUGGCAAGGUUCUCCCCUGCACCGGAAUGAAUCAAGUUACAAUCACCAGUUCUUGAAUUGGCAUAAUUUUGUGCUCGGGAUGCCAAACCGGCAUCCCAAGACAUUGGCCCGACCCCGACUUGGGCACGGGCAUCGUUGUGAACCGCAAGAUAGUCUUGGGGUGAAUUUUGGGCAUCACAAGAGUGAAAUAUGGCUAAUACCAUGAGACAAGUGAGUAACAAUGAGAUGUUAAACAACCCCAUUUUGCUUUAGGUCUAGUGGAAAGAAAAUAAAUCUAAGUUAUUGUGAUUAUAAAUGUGAGAUAAGUAGUGUAUUUAUAAGUAAAAUUAAUUGUGGAAUUUUGUUUAGCAUGUGUGAAGAAAAUUCAAAGGAAAUUAGUAGAGGAAAUGAUAAAAAUGGUCUCUUAUCUUUGAUAGUAAGUUCAAAAUAGUCUCGUGUGUAUUUAGUUGAGCCAUUUUGGUCCUUCAAUUGUUUAGAAGUAAUUACUUUCGGUCCUGAUGGUAUCAAAGAUAAGUGAACAGUGUCUUCAUUGAAGGACUGCUUCUUCCUCCUUGAUAUUAUCAAAGGAUAAUAUACUUUGGUGGUAUUAAUGAGUAACUGAAUAGUGUUUUCAUUAAGAUUUGUUUCAGUCCUUCGAUGAGAAUACUCAAUCAUCCAUGAUAUCAUUACGGUAUUUCUACAUACUGUCGUGAUAUCAUUGAGGUAUGUUUGAAUUCUUCAAUAUUUUAAUUUUAAAAAAUAUAUUUCCUACUAAUUUAGAGUUUAAUAAAUAAGAUUGUGAAUUUAAUAAUUUUCUCAUAACUAUUUCUUAAAAAAAGAGUUAAAUCCUAUAUCUCAUACUAUAUCAUGUGCAAUAUAAAAAAGGAGAAAGUGGGGUAAGCAGGUAAAUAUUUUGAGGUAUAGGUCCAUUUAGGGUAAAUAGUUUGGAUAGAGUCCAAUUUAGAUAAAUAGUUUCAUAAUUGGGUCUAUCUUACAUAGUUUUUUCUAUUAAUUACGCUACUUAAUUUUUAAAUAUAUAAAUUUCAUAAUUUUAAAUAAGUAAAGAACCUAUGCCCAACUUCACACUAAGAAUUUAGUACUUUGACCCUCGUACUUGGAAUUUUUCAAUAUUAAUUUGCUCAUACAAUUAUUCAACUAAUUUAUAUAGAACCAAUCCUUUUCUGAGUUUAAGUAGCACAAAUAUCGUAUUUUAAUCUUAGUUAAUGAAAGACAAAUUUUAAAAAGGUCAAAUAGGAAUAACAACUUUAUGUAUUCAUGUUUAGUGGAAACAAGAAGAUGCAAUACUUAGUUAUCAACGUAAGCCACUAUACCAUGAACAUAUGGUACGUGGAAUUAUUCAUACUAGCAACAUCAAAGGGUAAUAAUAAUAAUAAUUAUAGAGGUACAUUUAAUCCCUUACACAUCAUAAGUAAACACAUUUUAGUAAGGACGUUGUCCGACCCAGUUUCCAACAGGAUCAUAGUUGCAUGAAAUGAACCACCAUCCGUUGUUGCAACGAGCCCGACCACAACCUAGUCGAACUGAGUUGCGCCAGACUACUUGAGUAUAGUGUCCGCACACUUGUCCGCUUGCACAUUGGUUGGUACCAUAGUUGUAGUUUGGCUUCUCCCCCACCCACAAUUGCACAGCUGCCCUCCCCGUGAAAUCACCAGUUCCCUUGGCAAGGUUCUCCCCUGCACCGGAAUGAAUCAAGUUACAAUCACCAGUUCUUGAAUUGGCAUAAUUUUGUGCUCGGGAUGCCAAACCGGCAUCCCAAGACAUUGGCCCGACCCCGACUUGGGCACGGGCAUCGUUGUGAACCGCAAGAUAGUCUUGGGGUGAAUUUUGGGCAUCACAAGAGUGAAAUAUGGCUAAUACCAUGAGACAAGUGAGUAACAAUGAGAUGUUAAACAACCCCAUUUUGCUUUAGGUCUAGUGGAAAGAAAAUAAAUCUAAGUUAUUGUGAUUAUAAAUGUGAGAUAAGUAGUGUAUUUAUAAGUAAAAUUAAUUGUGGAUUUUGGUUUAGCAUGUGUGAAGAAAAUUCAAAGGAAAUUAGUAGAGGAAAUGAUAAAAAUGGUCUCUUAUCUUUGAUAGUAAGUUCAAAAUAGUCUCGUGUGUAUUUAGUUGAGCCAUUUUGGUCCUUCAAUUGUUUAGAAGUAAUUACUUUCGGUCCUUUAAGUUUUUCAAAAAUGAGCAUUUUUUUUUAUCUUGAUUAGAUUUUUAUCAAACUUUGAUUGUUAAAUUUAAACAUUGUGGAAUUUUAUUUUUCAUAUUAAGAAAAUUCAAAUGUGAUUAGUACCUUGCAUGUCGUGUGAUUCAUAGAAUACUAUAUUCUUUAAAGAAUAGUCAUACUUUAAUCUAGGUAAUUCUUGUUUUUUUUUCAAAAUUAUAUUAUCAAAAUAAGGUUAAACAAGAUUAAUUAAGCAUUUUUGGGUGGAAUAAAAAGUCUAUAGAACAUAAGAAGACUUGAAUUACUAAAAAGAUAUAUAUUUUUUCUAUUAGAUGGGGCUCACACAUGUUCUACAAUCUCGUGAAGCAUAAAGAUGUAUAUUUUUUUUCCAUUAGAUGGGGCUCACACAUGUUCUACAGCCUCGUGAAGCAUGGACGUGACCAAAUGGUGAAGCAGCUAAAAUAAGGGCUUUAGGCUCCAAAAUUAUAGGGGUUUGAAUAAAAACUUUUUUUCUUAUACAAUGUCUUGGGUGUGUGCUGGAGUCCUCAUUAAUUUGAUUUAUGUCACAUAAGUACCUUUAAAGGGAAGUUCUAUCUAGCAGUCUUUAUUUUCAUUUUAGGAUUCGAACAUGGAACAUCCGAUCAAGAGAGGAUGCGAUUCAGUGUUUACUUGUAAAAUAUUUCAUGGAAAAAUGAUUUUAGGCCAUCGAUAUUAUUGAGCCGCCCUAAAUCUAUUGGGAGAAAAUUAUUGUACGAGAGAGAAGAGUGAGAAUUUGUUAGUCAUUGAAAGCAAUUUGAAUAUAAUGAAAACAAAAAAUAAACAAAGUGAUGGACACAUAAACCAGGACAAAUAUUUGGUCCUUUCUGUAGAAAUUAACUGCCUCACAUCCUGGCAGCUUCGAAUGAGAAUUAUUAAUUUUUAAAACGUUUUUAAGGGUUGAAGUUGAAUUUACGAAUAAAUAGUUACAUGUUUAAAUAAGUAUUAAAUAGAGAAUAAAUAAUUUGAUAUGCUUAAUAAAUAUAUGUGCACCUAAAGUAGUUCCUGACGAAUGUACUUCAUAUAAUAUUUUACAUAUAAAGUAUAAUUUUUCGAUAAAAGUUUUCAAUAGGUCACCGCCAGGGGAGGAGCCAGCAUGUCUUUAGGGGUUCAUCCGAAUCCCUUUUGGUGGAAAAUAUUACUAUAUAUACAUGGUUAAAAUUAUUUUUUAGAUGUAUAUAAUAGAUGUCGAACCCCCCUUCGACUAGUUCAUAUGUUUACUCCUUCGGAUUUUGAACCCCUUAUUAAAAAUCAUGGCUCUGCCACUAGUCACCGCUGCGUGGAAUUCCUGUUCCAUCACGUAAUUGGAGAGUUUUUUCUUGACUUCUAUUUUUAUUAUUAUGGAAUUAUCUACAGUUUAAUUCACUGAUUUUGAUUUGGAGAAUGACAAUAUGCUAAUUUUAUGUAUUAAACCUUAGUGUGAAGAUAAAAUAUUAUAUUUAUUUGACAACGUUACGUUUGUAUUAAAGUAAACUAGUAUAUAUAUAUAUUCGCGGAUAAUAUUAAAAAUAUUAUUUUUAAGUGUAUUAGAAUGUGUGACUUGCAAGUUUGAGUCAGUCAAAAUUACAGUUAUUUUUUGUGUGAUUAAUUAACUUAGUUAGAAAAUCAAAUAUAAUUAUUUCACUCGUACUUCAACUUAUAAUAACUAAACGAAGUCAAUCGGAACUCAUCAUAGCUUUCUGAGGGAUCGACUCAAGACUCAUAAUCAAGAUUAUAUUGAUUAUGCUCACUUAGUUUUUGAAUAUGUAAAUUUCAUAAUUUAAAAAAGGAAAUAAAGAAUCUAUGUCGUGUUAGUGUUUUGCCCUGAUUUUAAAAAAUAAAGGUCCUUUAAAUUUUUCAAAAGUGAACACUUUUGGUUUUGAGAAGAUAUUUAUCAAACUUUGAUUGUUAAAUUUAAUCGAAUUUGUAUAAAAUGUUAAAUUUAAACACUGUGGAAUUUUAUUUCACAUGUGAAGAAAAUUCAAAGGAGAUUAAUGUUACAUUGCAUGUCGUGUUAUUCAGGAAAUACUCUAUGCUUUAAAGAAUAGUCAUACUUUAAUCUAGGACAUUUCUUCACCCCAUAUUAUUCAGAUAAGAUUAAACAAGACUUAGUAAGUGUUUUUGGGUGGAAUAUUCACAAUAGGUAAAAUAUGCGCUCUCAAUAAUUACAUGCAAGUCUACGGAGCAUAGAAAGACAAGAUGCUUAUAUCGUAUAUUUGCUAAAUGAAUCUAAUUCUAAUACAACUUUAUAUCUCAAUUAAAUUGGACUCGCACAUGUUCUACAGUCUCGUGAAUCAUGUUGAAGCAACUAAAGCAAGGACUUUAGGCUCCAAAAUUUUAGGGUUCCGAUUUUUAUUUUUUAUUUUCUCAUACAAUGUCUAGAAUCUAUGUUGAAGUCACGAUUAAUUCAAUUUCGUGUCACAUAAGGUUCUUUAAAGGAAGAAGCUCUCUAGCAAUAUUUGUUUUCCUUUUGAGAUUUGGACUCAAUAUCUCUGAUCAAGAGAGGAAGCGAUUCAGUUUUAUUUAGCUAUAAAAUAUUUUAUGAAAAUUUGAUUUUAAACCAUCGAUCUUAUUGAGCCACCCUUGCGUGAAUGUAUUGGAAGAAAAUUAUUCUAUGAGAGAGAGAAGACUAAGUAUUUAUUAGUCAUUGAAAGCAAUUUGGAUAUAAUGAAAACAAAAAAAUAAAGAAAGUGAUGGACACUUAAACCAGAACAAAUUUUUGGUCCUUUGUGUGGAAAUUAACUGCUUCACAUCCUUGCAGCUUCGAAUGAGAUUUUUUUUAAAAAAAUUUGAAAGUGUUGAAGCUGAAUUUAUGAAUAAAUAGUUAUAUGUUUAGAUAAGUUUUAAAUGGAGCAUAAAUAGUUUGAUUUGCUUAAUUAUAUAUGCACACAUUAAGUAAUUUCUAUCGUAUAUAUUUUGUAUAUUUCUUUUAUAUAUAAAAUAUAAUUUUUUGGUGAAAAGUGUUCAACGAUAGUCGCUAUAGUGUGUGGAAUUCAUGUUCCAUCACAUAAUUGGAGAGUUUUUUCUUGACUUUCUUUUUAUUAUUACUAUUAUUUAUGGAUUUUUAUAUAGUUUAAUUCACUGAUUUUGAUUCGGAGAAUGACAAUAUACUAGAGUUUUAAUUUACCCUUUGUUUGGUUAUAAUAUAUUAUAUUUAUUUGACUGCGUUUGCAUUAUAGUAUAAAUUGUUUGGAAUUACUUGUUUGUUUUGGGAAAGACUUGCAAGUUUGAGUCGGUCAAAAUUACACUGUGAUUAAUCAACUUAAUUAGAAAAUCAAAUAUAAUUUUAUACUUCACUCGUAUUCCACUUAAACUAACUAAAUUAAGUUAAACGGAACUCACCAUAGCUUUUCUGUGGUAUUGAGUUGUAUAUAAAUACUAGUAACGAAAGCCCGGGCGCUGCCCGGGCCCUGUGGUAUUGAGUUGUAUAUAAAUAUACUCUGAUGGUAUCAAAGAUAACUGAACAGUGUCUUCAUUGAAAGACUGCUUCUUCCUCCUUGAUAUUAUCAAAGUAUAAUAUACUUUGGUGGUAUUAAUGAGUAACCGAAUAGUGUUUUCAUUAAGGUUUGUUUCAGUCCUUCGAUGAGAAUACUCAAUCAUCCAUGAUACCAUUACGGUAUAUCUACAUACUGUCGUGGUAUCAUUUAGGUAUGCUUGAAUUCUUCAAUAUUUUAAUUUUAAAAAAUAUAAAAAUAUAUUUCCUACUAAUUUAGAGUUUAAUAAAUAAGAUUGUGAAUUUAAUAAUUUCUCUUAAUUAUUUCUUAAAAAAAGAGUUAAAUCCUAUAUCUCAUACUGAUAUCAUACGCGAUAUAAAAAAGGAGAAAGUGGGGUAAGCAUGUAAAUAUUUUGAGGCAUGGGUCCAUUUAGGGUAAAUAGUUUGGAUAAAGUCCAAUUUAGAUAAAUAGUUUCAUAAUUGGGUCUAUCUUACAUAGUUUUUUCUAUUAAUUACGCUACUUAAUUUUUAAAUAUAUAAAUUUCAUAAUUUUAAAUAAGUAAAGAACCUAUGCCCAACUUCACACUCGUACUUGGAAUUUUUCAAUAUUAAUUUGCUCAUACAAUUAUUCUACUAAUUUAUAUAGAACCAAUCCUUUUCUGAGAUUAAGUAGCACAAAUAUCGUAUUUUAAUCUUAGUUAAUGAAAGACAAAUUUUAAAAAGGUCAAAUAGGAAUAACAACUUUAUGUAUUCAUGUUUAGUGGAAACGAGAAGAUGCAAUACUUAGUUAUCAACGUAAGCCACUAUACCAUGAACAUAUGGUACGUGGAAUUAUUCAUACUAGCAACAUCAAAGGGUAAUAAUAAUAAUAAUUAUAGAGGUACAUUUAAUCCCUUACACAUCAUAAGUAAACACAUUUUAGUAAGGACGUUGUCCGACCCAGUUUCCAACAGGAUCAUAGUUGCAUGAAAUGAACCACCAUCCGUUGUUGCAACGAGCCCGACCACAACCUAGUCGAACUGAGUUGCGCCAGACUACUUGAGUAUAGUGUCCGCACACUUGUCCGCUUGCACAUUGGUUGGUACCAUAGUUGUAGUUUGGCUUCUCCCCCACCCACAAUUGCACAGCUGCCCUCCCCGUGAAAUCACCAGUUCCCUUGGCAAGGUUCUCCCCUGCACCGGAAUGAAUCAAGUUACAAUCACCAGUUCUUGAAUUGGCAUAAUUUUGUGCUCGGGAUGCCAAACCGGCAUCCCAAGACAUUGGCCCGACCCCGACUUGGGCACGGGCAUCGUUGUGAACCGCAAGAUAGUCUUGGGGUGAAUUUUGGGCAUCACAAGAGUGAAAUAUGGCUAAUACCAUGAGACAAGUGAGUAACAAUGAGAUGUUAAACAACCCCAUUUUGCUUUAGGUCUAGUGGAAAGAAAAUAAAUCUAAGUUAUUGUGAUUAUAAAUGUGAGAUAAGUAGUGUAUUUAUAAGUAAAAUUAAUUGUGGAAUUUUGUUUAGCAUGUGUGAAGAAAAUUCAAAGGAAAUUAGUAGAGGAAAUGAUAAAAAUGGUCUCUUAUCUUUGAUAGUAAGUUCAAAAUAGUCUCGUGUGUAUUUAGUUGAGCCAUUUUGGUCCUUCAAUUGUUUAGAAGUAAUUACUUUCGGUCCUUUAAGUUUUUCAAAAAUGAGCAUUUUUUUUAUCUUGAUUAGAUUUUUAUCAAACUUUGAUUGUUAAAUUUAAACAUUGUGGAAUUUUAUUUUUCAUAUUAAGAAAAUUCAAAUGUGAUUAGUACCUUGCAUGUCGUGUGAUUCAUGGAAUACUAUAUUCUUUAAAGAAUAGUCAUACUUUAAUCUAGGUAAUUCUUGUUUUUUUUUUUCAAAAUUAUAUUAUCAAAAUAAGGUUAAACAAGACUAAUUAAGCAUUUUUGGGUGGAAUAAAAAGUCUAUAGAACAUAAGAAGACUUGAAUUAUUAAAAUGAUGUAUAUUUUUUCUAUUAGAUGGGGCUCACACAUUUUUUCUAAGUACCUUUAAAGGGAAGUUCUAUCUAGCAGUAUUUAUUUUCAUUUUAGGAUUCGAACAUGGAACAUCCGAUCAAGAGAGGAUUCUAUUCAGUGUUUACUUAUAAAAUAUUUCAUGGAAAAAUGAUUUUAGGCCAUCGAUAUUAUUGAGCCGCCCUAAAUCUAUUGGGAGAAAAUUAUUGUACGAGAGAGAAGAGUGAGAAUUUGUUAGUCAUUGAAAGCAAUUUGAAUAUAAUGAAAACAAAAAAUAAACAAAGUGAUGGACACAUAAACCAGGACAAAUAUUUGGUCCUUUCUGUAGAAAUUAACUGCCUCACAUCCUGGCAGCUUCGAAUGAGAAUUAUUAAUUUUUAAAACGUUUUUAAGGGUUGAAGUUGAAUUUACGAAUAAAUAGUUACAUGUUUAAAUAAGUAUUAUAAAGAGAAUAAAUAAUUUGAUGUGCUUAAUAAAUAUAUGGCACACUUAAAAUAGUUUCUAAGGUACAUAUUUCGCAUAAAUUUUUAUAUAUAAUUUUUUUUUGAUGAAAAAUGUUUAACUGACCACCUAUCAUAGGUCGUCACUAUGUUAAAUUCCUGUUCCAUCACGUAAGUGUAGAGUUUUUUUCUUGAUUUAUUAUUAUUAUUAUUAUUAUUAUUAUCAUUAUUAUGGAUUUUUCUAUAGACUGCGUUUAUAUUAAAGUAAAUUGUUUGGAAUUACUUGUUUGUUUUGGGAAAGACUUGCAAGUUUGAGUCGGUCAAAAUUACACCGUGAUUAAUCAACCUAAUUUGAAAACCAAAUAUAAUUAUCAGGGAGCGGAUCUACCUCAGAGCAAAGGGGGUCGAGCGGCACCCCUCAUCGAAAGAUUACAUUAUAUAUAUAUAUAUAUAUAUAUAAAAAAAACUUAUAGGAGGUUGUGUGUUCCAUUCUUGAUAGCAAUUCUGGCUCUGCCACUGAACUCAUAACCAAGAUUAUAUUAAUUAGGGGAAAAAAUACUUAUAUCCCCAAAAAAGUAAAAUAUUUAUCUUUAAAUAUUUUAUUACUUUCAUACCCCCUUUUAUUUUAAAAUGACAUAUAUCUAGAUCUAUUCACGCGUUGACGUCAUGUUGAUGUCAACGUUCACCUUUUUUUUUCCUUUCUGAUACCAUCACAGUAUAAUACAAUCGUAUAUGAAUAUACUAUGAUGGUAUCAAAGAGUAACCGAGUAGUUUCUUCAUCGAAGGACUAUUUCUUCCUCUUUGAUAUCAUCAAAGUAUAAUAUACUCUGGUGGUAUCAAUGAGUAACUAAAUGGUGUUUUCAUUAAGGUUUGCUUCAGUCCCUCGAUGGGAAUACUCAAUCAUCCAUGAUACCAUUACGUUAUAUCUACAUGCUAUCAUGGUAUCAUUGAGGUAUGUUUCAAUUCUUCAAUAUUUUAAUUUUAAAAAAUAUAAAAAUAUAUUUUACUAACUAAUUUAGAGUUUAAUAAAUAAGAUUGUGACUUUAAUAAUUUUCUCUUAAUUAUUUCUUUAAAAAAAGUUAAAUCCUAUAUGAUACCGAUAAAGUAUCAACAUACAGACAUAGUGUCACGCCCCGAGUCUACACCCUGGGCGGGACUGGCNNNNNNNNNNNNNNNNNNNNNNNNNNNNNNNNNNNNNNNNNNNNNNNNNNNNNNNNNNNNNNNNNNNNNNNNNNNNNNNNNNNNNNNNNNNNNNNNNNNNCUUCUUAGCUAUUUCAAAUUGUCGGAUGUUACACAUAGUAUCACAAAAGAUUAAUUCAUAGUAGUGAUGCUAAUGUCAUAUUGAUAUCAUGUGCAAAAUAAGAAAGAAGAAAAUGGGGUAAGCGGGUAAAUAGUUUGGGGCAUAGCAUUAAUAAGGGUAAAUAGUGUGAUAAUUAAUUUGCUUAUACAAUUAUUCUACUAAUUUACACAGAACCAAUCCUUUUUAAUCUUAUUUAAAGAAAGACAAAAUUUUAGAAAGGUAAAAUAGGAAUAACUUUAUGUAGUCAUGUUUAAUGGAAACAAGUCGCACUAUACCAUGAACAUAUGGUACGUGGAGUACUUAUCAAAGGGAAAUAAUGAUUUUAUUUAAUAGCAGCAACAUGCCAUAAGUUAACACACUUUAGUAAGGACGUUGUCCGAUCCAAUUGCCUACAGGAUCGUAGUUGCAAGAAAUGAACCACCAACCAUUGUUGCAACGAGCCCGACCACAACCUAGUCGAACUGAGUUGCGCCAAACUACUUGAGUAUAGUGUCCGCACACUUUUCCACUAGCACAUUGGUUGGUAGCAUAGUUGUAGUUUGGCUUUUCUGACACCCACAAUUGCACGGCACGCCUCCCUGUGUAGUCUCCUCCGCCCUUGGCAAGGUUCUCCCCAGCACCAGAAUGAAUCAAAUUGCAAUCACCAAUUCUUGAGUUGGCAUAGUUUUGUGCUCGGGUUGCCAAGCUGGCAUCCCAUGACAUUGGCCCAACCCCGACUUGGGCACGGGCAUCGUUGUGAACCGCAAGAUAGUCUUGGGGGUGAAUUUUGGGCAUCACAAGAGUGAAAUAUGGCUAAUACAUGCAUGAAACAAAUGAGUAAUAAUUAGAUGUUAAACAACCCCAUUUUGUUUUAGGUCUAGUGGAGAGAGAACAAAUGUGAUUAUGGAUAUGAGAUAAUUAAAUGGUGUAUAUACAAGUAAACAUUGUGGAAUUUUGUUUAGAUGUAAAGAAAAUUCAAAGGAAAUUAUUUGAGGAAUGACAAAAAUGGUCUCUUAUCUUUGGUAGUAGAUUCAAAAUAAUCUCUAGUAUUGUAUUUAGUUGAACGAGUUUGGUCCUUAAGUUUGUUAAAAGUGAGCACUUUUGGACUCGAUCAUAUAUUUAUCAAACUCUAAACGUUAAAAUUUAAUCGAAAUUGUGAAAAUUAUUAAAUUUCAAAAAUGUAAAAUUUUGUUUGCAUGUGAAGAAAAUUCAAAGGAGAUUGGUACAUUGCAUGUGGUAUGAAACAAGGAAUACUACAUUCUUUAAAGAAUAGUCAUGAUAUAUUCUUUAAUCUUGGACGUUCAUUUUCUUGAAAAUCAUAUUAUCAAGAUAAGGUUGAAACUUAAACAAGACUUAAUAUGAUGUCGGGAACAAGUUAUUUUGAAAUAAUUAAUUUCAGAAUAAAUUGUUCCAUCAAUAACUUAUUCCAUCAUUAUGACAAAAUGGUGGGACUAAUUCAAGAACUAUCUAAUACCUUCAACCAAACGUGGAAUAGAAUAAUCCUAUAUUAAUUCUGGAAUUAUUAUAUCUUAUACCUUAUACCUCACACCAAACGACUCCAAGUGUUUUACAAUAGGUAUAAUAUUCACUCUCAAUAGUUACAUACAAGUCUUUUGAAAAAUAGAAAGAUGGAAAUACCCAUAACAUGUAUAAUAUGUCGAAUGAUCCAAAUCCUAAUUAAAUUUCAUUUUUUUCAAUAAAUGGGGUCGCACGUAUUCUACAUAUCCUCGUGAAUCAUGGCUUACUAUGUCUUUAGUCUCCAACAUUUUAGGGGUCCAAAAAGAAAUUGUUCUUUCACACUAUGUCUGAAAUCUAUGUUGAUUGAUUUAAUCUCAUGCCACAUAAGGUUUUUAAGGGGUCGUUAAUUGGUUUGAAAAUAAGUUAUGAUGGGAUAAGUUAUGCUGAAAUUAGUAAUGAUGGGAUAAGUUAUGUUGAAAUUAGUUAUGAUAAGAUAAGUUAUGCUGAGAAUAUUUCUUGUAAAGCUCUCUCUAGCAAUAUUUAAUUUUUCAUGGACUCAAAUUCAAGACCACAUAGGUCAAGAGAUCGAGGAUGAAAUCCAGUUUUCACCUUUAAAAUACUUUAUGAAAAUUUAAUUUUUGGCCAUCAAUAUAAUUGAGCCGCCCUAGCGUGAAUCUUUAAGGAUAAAAUUAUUCUAUGAGAGAAAGAAAACUAAGUAUUUGUUAAUCAAUGAAGCAAUUUGGAUAGAAUGAAAACAAAACACAAACCGCCUCCUCAUUAGCAGCUUCAAAUUACAAUUAACUUUUAAAGCGUUUUUGAAGUGUUGAAGUUGAAUUUAUCAAUAAAUAGUUACGUGUUUAAAUAAGUGUUAAAUGAACAAUAAAUAGUUUGAUAUGCUCAGUUAAAAUAAACGCAUGUAAAGUACGUAAUUUCUUAUGUAUGUACUUCAUAUAAUUUUUUAUAUAUUAAAUAUAAUUUUUCGAUGAAAGGGCUACGCGACUGCAUGGAAUUCUUGUUCUAUCACAUCUAAGUUUUUUACAAAAUUAUCAGUCCUCUUCGAGUGAAGUAACACAAAUAUUGUAUUUUAAUCUUAUUUAAGGAAAGAGAAAAUUUUAGAAAGGUAAAAUAGGAAAAACUUUAUGUAUUCAUGUUAUAUCAUUUAUCAAAGAGAAAUAAUAAUAAUUAUAGACGUUCAUUUAAUUCCUUAAUAUCUUAGAUAGAAGAUUGACUCGAUCCACAUGUCAGACUUAAAAUUUAGCUCCUUGAUAUCUAAUAUGGAAAUUUUAUUUAAUAUUAGCAAUAUAUUAUAAGCAAACAUCCUUUAGUAAGGACGUUGUCCGACCAAGUUGCCUACAGGAUCAUAUUUGCAAGAAAUGAACCACCAUCCGUUGUUGCAACAAUCCCGGCCACAAUCUAGUCGGACUGAGUUGCGCUAGACUACUUGAGUAUAAUGUCCACACAUUUUUCCACUAACACAUUGGUUGGUAGCGUAGUUAUAGCUUGGCAAGGUUCUCCCCAGCACCAGAAUGAAUCAAAUGGCAAUCACGAGUUCUUGAGUUGGCAUAGUGUUGUGCUCGGGAUGCCAAGCCUACAUCCCAAGACAUUGGCCCGACCCCGACUUGCGCACGGGCGUUGUUGUGAACCACAAGAUAGUCUUGGGGUGAAUUUUGGGCAUCACAAGAGUGAAAUAUGGCUAAUACCAUGAGACAAAUGAGUAACAUUGGGAUGUUGAACAACCCCAUUUUGCUUUAGGUCUAGUGGAGAGAAAAGAAG
rnacentral:lncRNA from 1 species